GAAGUCGGGUGGGUGGUCGCUGGUUCGCAAGAAUCAGAGGAAAGUCCGGACUCCUAGAGCAGGGUGCUGGGUAACGCCCAGGCGGAGCGAUCCGACACCGGCGCAACAGAAAGCACACCGCCGAUGGCCCGUGAGGGAUCAGGCAAGGUUGAAAAGGUGGGGUAAGAGCCCACCGCGGUCGUGGCGACACGGCUGGCCGGCAAGCGUCACUCGGAGCAAGACCAAAUAGGAGGGCGGAGGAGCGGGACACCGGUGCCGCUCCUCACGGUCGGCUCGGCCGUGGCCCUCGGGUAGGUCGCUUGAGGCCUGCAGCAAUGCAGGUCCCAGAGAAAUGACUACCACCGUUCUUCUGUGAAGAAGGGCGGAACAGAAUCCGGCUUACAGUCCGUCUUCCACA
rnacentral:RNase_P_RNA from 1 species